GAUGAACGCUGGCGGCGUGCCUAAUACAUGCAAGUCGAGCGAACAGACGAGGAGCUUGCUCCUCUGACGUUAGCGGCGGACGGGCGAGUAACACGUGGAUAACCUACCUAUAAGACUGGGAUAACUUCGGGAAACCGGAGCUAAUACCGGAUAACAUGUUGAACCGCAUGGUUCAACAGUGAAAGACGGUCUUGCUGUCACUUAUAGAUGGAUCCGCGCCGCAUUAGCUAGUUGGUAAGGUAACGGCUUACCAAGGCAACGAUGCGUAGCCGACCUGAGAGGGUGAUCGGCCACACUGGAACUGAGACACGGUCCAGACUCCUACGGGAGGCAGCAGUAGGGAAUCUUCCGCAAUGGGCGAAAGCCUGACGGAGCAACGCCGCGUGAGUGAUGAAGGUCUUCGGAUCGUAAAACUCUGUUAUUAGGGAAGAACAAAUGUGUAAGUAACUAUGCACGUCUUGACGGUACCUAAUCAGAAAGCCACGGCUAACUACGUG
rnacentral:rRNA from 1 species